rnacentral:sRNA from 1 species
AACCCAAAGGGCUAAGUCUUCUUUCUUAAUUUUUAAAACAAGCAUGUGUUUUGUUCUUUACAUGAAUCGUCGGUUCUCCCAGUGUGAUCACGACACUGUCCCAUGCUGAUUCCAUGCACGGUGCAACUCUUUCCCAAGAGAGAUUCUAACUCAGGACACCUGGGAGAGGACCUUAGCUGCAUAUCUCACAGCUACCAGCUGCUGCACGCUGGCAAGGUUUUGGGAUGCACUGAAUCCAGUUCAGCAUGUUUACUGAGCAUAUACCACAUAGAGAGCCCAGAUGAUACAAAAAUAAGAAGAUGGGUUGUACCUGCCCUUGAGGAGCUAACAAGCUUGUAAACUGAGGCCCAGAAAGGUUCAGCCGUCUGCCUGAGGUCACACAGCCACAGUUUGGACCUGAGCCAUCAAUCAUGCACCAAAAGCCUGCAUUGACCCUAGAAGAUUCCAUUGCAUGCUGUCAAGGCGCUUAGUUUCUCUCUUGUGUCUCCCCAAAACAUAAACCUGGAAUGGAAGAGAACCACUUACUCUAUAGAUGCUUUUAGCUCAGAACACUUCAAGCUUUUGGAGUAUGAGAAAUAAUAACAAUCAUUCCAUUCUUUCCUGGAGUUUGAAUCUCAGCUGUUGGUGAUAUUGUUGGGACUGAUUUGCUAUCUAUAAAGCCAAAUUUGAGAAAAGACAGGUUAAAAAUAAACAAGGAGGAUGAUGGUAGUAAAAAUAA